rnacentral:rRNA from 1 species
GCGUAAGGGCUCGCAGGCGGUUUCUUAAGUCUGAUGUGAAAGCCCCCGGCUCAACCGGGGAGGGUCAUUGGAAACUGGGAAACUUGAGUGCAGAAGAGGAGAGUGGAAUUCCACGUGUAGCGGUGAAAUGCGUAGAGAUGUGGAGGAACACCAGUGGCGAAGGCGACUCUCUGGUCUGUAACUGACGCUGAGGAGCGAAAGCGUGGGGAGCGAACAGGAUUAGAUACCCUGGUAGUCCACGCCGUAAACGAUGAGUGCUAAGUGUUAGGGGGUUUCCGCCCCUUAGUGCUGCAGCUAACGCAUUAAGCACUCCGCCUGGGGAGUACGGUCGCAAGACUGAAACUCAAAGGAAUUGACGGGGGCCCGCACAAGCGGUGGAGCAUGUGGUUUAAUUCGAAGCAACGCGAAGAACCUUACCAGGUCUUGACAUCCUCUGACAACCCUAGAGAUAGGGCUUUCCCUUCGGGGACAGAGUGACAGGUGGUGCAUGGUUGUCGUCAGCUCGUGUCGUGAGAUGUUGGGUUAAGUCCCGCAACGAGCGCAACCCUUGAUCUUAGUUGCCAG